UAUGUAUGUGUGUGCGCAUAUGUAUGUGUA
rnacentral:piRNA from 1 species